AUAGGUUCAAAUCCUAUUGGACGCA
rnacentral:tRNA from 3 species